UUUUAUUUUUUACGAUUUUUUUGGUGGUAAAUGGUACUCACUCCGUACUUAUUUAAGGGAUACAAUUAUUUUUUUCGGCCGUAUUUAUUUAAAAGAUACACUUGUUAUUUUAGUAACUUAUAAACCCCACCAUCUAAUUAAAUAAUUUAUUUACACCCCACCCCCAUCUCCCAAUCUCUAAAAUGACAUGAUCCCCACUUGUUUUACUUAUUAAAAUAUUUACUCAACCUCACUUAUUUUAUUACUUUAUUUCAUUCAAUUCUUCUUCUUAAUACCCGUGUCCGGCCAAGUUUAUCCCUUAAAUAAAUACGAAGUGAGUUAAUUUUACUCUCUCUGUUCCUAUUUAAGUGUCCACUUUUUUAAAAUAGCGUUUCCUUAUGGGAGCGUCGUAGCGGCAUUCUGUGAGGUGUUUCAAAACACAUUACAGGGGCAAUUUGGUCAAUAACAUGUGCCACUCAUUAAAAAAAGUACCAUUUCGUUAAACGGAAUACUAUUUCGAUAAAAAAAAUAGUACUAUUUCAUUAAAAACAGAGUACCAUUCCGAUUAAAACAUGUACCAUUUCAUUAACUUUUUUGAUGUUAUGUUUUUACAAAUACAUAACCGUUAUGGAAUUUGACUUCCUCUUUCUUUAUAAGUCCACUUUCCAUUUCUGGACUACAUUUGUCCACUUUUCCAUACAUUUUUCUCACUUUUUCAUACAUUUUUUUCACUUUUCCAUAAAUCAUGAUUGUUUUUUUCUUACACAUUCUACACUUUUUCCACUUUUUCAUCCUCACAUCCACUUUUAUUUGUACUUUAUUAAUAAAUAAUUAUCUACUUUAUUCUUUCCCCAAAAAACCAAUCUCAGUCAUUAUUUUCUUACACACUUUCAUUUUCCUUAAUUACCGUAAAUUCCUCUAAAAUGAACACUUAAAUAGAAAAAGAGUGAGUAUUUGUAGAUAAUAAAAAAAAUAAAAAAUAAAAAAAAAACUUAUUUAAGUGGUAAAAAUAAAUAUCCUUUUAGUUAUUCAAUUAUUAAGGGGUUGGACCGGCGACUAGCGGUGGUGAGUGGUGAGAGUAGGGAAGAUGAAGGAGGUAAGGUGGGACCCAUUGGGAGUGAAUAGAGUAUGCUAGUGCUGGAAAUAUGGACGUAGGGAAGCAGUUAAAAGUGUUGAGAGUGGGAAUUUGUUUGUAUUAUGGGGUUAUUAUUUUGGUGAAUCAUUUCUUCCAUUUCUCUCUCCACGUUGGCUUCCAUUAUGUCAUCGUGCUGCAGUAAUUUUGGGAUUUUUGAUGUUUUUAGUAUUUUUUGUUAUUUAUUCGACUUUAUGGUCAAGAACGACUUUAAUUGUUUAUUCCGUAUAAAAAUAAUUUCAAUGUUUAAAAAAUGGACAUGCUUACCCCAAAAAAAAAAUGAACAUGUGACCAUGUAACCCACUAUUGUGUAAUAAUGAUAUAGAUAGCUGUUAAAAACAUGUAGCUAUUUUGGCCAGAUGGCUCAAAAAAAUGUAGCUUAAAUAAAUACUCUCUCCGUCACAGAUUAGUUGUUACACUUACCUUUGCACAAAGUUUUAGGUGAUAAGUGGUUGUUUGGUUAUCAAUUGUUAUUUUAUUGAAAAAGUAGAUGUGAUAGGAGUUAGUGGUGUAUUUUUUUAAAUUGAAUGAGAGAGGGUGUGGGGACAAAAAUAAAUUAGUGGGAAAAGAGAGACAAUAUAAUAAUUGUGGGGUCAUUCCUAAUUUAGAAGUGUAACAACUAAUCUGAAACGGACGGGAAAAAAAAGUGUAACAACUAAUCUAGGACUGAUAGUAAAUUUUUUAAAUUAAAUAUUGUAGGGAGCUACAAGUUAUUGUAUCUCGCCAAUGUGAAAAGAUGUAGCUUAAAUUAAUUGUAGCUAAAACUCUGAUGUGGCAAAAUUAGCCACAACACCUUGUAAUUCACCAAUGGAGUUGCUUUAAGGUGGUGUAGGUAAGUUUGUCACGUCAAAUUUCUAGUUACAAUUGAUUUAAUCUACUCCCUCUGUCCCGGAAUAGUCGUACUGCUUUCCUUAUAAAACCGUCCCGGAUUACUCGCAUCAUCCUAACACUUUAAAAAGCACAAAUUUCACAUUACUAUUGCAGCAAUAGUGUGAUGCCCAUUUUACCCUCACCCAUCUCUAUUUACUACUCCUUUGCCAUUACACCAAGAUCGUGACACGUUGCAGCAUCCACCGCCCUUCUUUUUCUUCUUCUCUCUCUUCCGUCUUCAGCUCUUGGUUGCUUCCCUUCCUCAUUUUUUUGGGGGUUGCCUUCUCUCUCCCGCCCUUUCGGUCCUUCCAUGUCUGAUCUUCCUUUCAUUUUUCCGGAAAAUCUAGGGUUUCUUCCAAUGAUUUUCAGUUCCUCGCCGAAGGCAGAGAAGGGAAGGGAAUGGAAGCGCAGAGUUUUCGGGAAUUCUUGACGGCCGAGAGAGUGAAAGUGGUGAUGAUGCUGGCGUUAGCUCUUGCUCUCUGUAUUGCUGAUCGUGUUGUUAUGCCUGUCUCCAUUGUCCAUCUUUCUCAAUCGCAUGGUUGGAGCCGAGCAUUUGCUGGUGUUGUUCAGGGUACAAACAGAGUCUACAAUACAACGAUUGUCGAGCACAAGAAGUCGUUGAAUCGGUUGGUCGUUGAUGAAGCCACCAAUGAUGACAAAUUGACAAUGCAAUUGCAAUUGUUGCUAUGCUCCUGGUGCAACAGAAACGUUUCAUAAAAUACUUUUCUAAUCAAGGAAUUUAUGUCUAUUGAAGAACAUCAUCUGUAAUCAAGUCCGAAGACAGUGGCCUUCCAUCAACAUCCCAAGGGAGUCUUCAUAUGCAUCCAGCCAAAUGCAUUCAGAGGAGAUCGCACGUGAAGUUACUCUCCGGAAUGUUCCGUUCCCAGGAACAAGAAAAAAUACAGGCCACAAAGGUUCAAAGAGAAGAUCCUGAUCCAAUUUGUUCAAAGAAGUUAUGUAAUUUUGAAAAUGAAGCUGAAGGUCAGAGUGAAUUUGAUGAUGAAGCUGGCAUUGCAACAGAGCUGGACUCUUCUAAUAGACAGGAAAGUUCUUGCAUGAGCUCUGUCUUGGAUGAAGUGUCGAUUGGUGCAAGUAGUUUUCAACAACUAUAAAAUGUCAUGGUGAAGCUAGAUGUAAGGACGAAAUUGUGCAUAAGAGACAGUCUUUGUCGGCCGGCCAGGAGUGCACAGCGGAGGCAUAACAGUGUCCAAUGCGCCAACUCCAGCUGUCAUCCCAAAGCCAGUUGAUGCAUCAUCUCAGAAGACUAGACGACCACCUCCAAAGGCUCCGUCUUCACAGCCAUCCACCGUCAAAUCUGACUCUAACCUCCCUUCCACGCCAGCGAAGGGUUAAGAAAGCACUUAGAGGCAUCAAAGCGGAGGUUACUCACACAGGAAAUGUACGGAGGAAAUACUGAGUAUCAGGAUUGUCAGCACAACCUACCAGGGAGCUAAUUUUCAUAUUCCCUAUUGAUGAGCAAAUGAAUAUGAAGUUUGUGGUUGAGUACUUCCGGGAGGUGUAUGGAUUUUUCCAUAUAAUACACCCACUUCCCUUGUCUUCAAGUAGGGAGUCAAAAGAAAGUGAAUUAUUUUCCCAUUGAGGCAUGAUAAAUAGUUGGAGGACAAAGAUAUACAAAGAGAUUGAAUGAUAAGCAAAUAACUUCUUUACUCAAAGUUACAUGUAGGCGACCAUGUGACCAGGAAGAAGAUAGACAGUUCACCAUAAUGGCUACAACCAAGAUCCCCUUGCACAAGAGUUCGAGGGUACAAACAAAGUCUACGAUACAACGAUUCUCGAGCACAAGAAGUCGUUGAAUCGGUUGGUCGUUGAUGAAGCCAUCAAUGAUGACAAAUUGACAAUGCAAUUGCAAUUGUUGUUAUGCUCCUGGUGCAACAGAAACGUUUCAGACAAUACUUUUCUAAUCAAGGAGUUUUAGCAGCAGCGUCACUUGACCAGGAUGAGGAGCUCAGCUCAACUGAAGUUAUUUUCAGCUGUCUGACUGGUCUUACAGAAACUUUAUGAGGUGACUCCUUGUGACUUCCUCUGCUACAGAUUUUAAUUCCUCAGGGUUUGCAAUGAGUGAGAGAAUAGAAUAUCAGAGAGGAGAUGAGGUAUCGUGGUGGUAUACUGGUAUCCAGAUGGCGAUAAGACUUUUUGAAGCAAGUAUAGUCGACAACUUUUGCUUAUGCAUUUGGUCCUGGUGUUUUUACCCCAUAUCGGUGAGCGAGUUUGUUCAAAUUGACUUUCAAAAGGGAGGCACCACUACUUGCAGGAGAUCUGAGGUUUCUAAUAAAUCCUUCCAUUUAACUCAGGUGCAUUGGAACCAUGUCGAUGAAAAUAGAGUCUGCCAGGAAGAAGCAUGGUUUGAUUCAGUGAUCAUACUAGAAUCAGUUUUUCUUCGCAGAUGCAUACAUAUGCUCCUGCAAUGUUCCUGGGUGACAACGAUGGUGAAGGCAUAAGUCUGGUGCUGUAUUUCAAGCUAUCUGACAAAAUCGACCAAGAAAUUCCAUCAGACUUCAUAGACAGCAUCAAGAGACUGGUAGACAAUGAAUCUGAGAAGCUUAAAUUAGUGGUUCCUUGCAUAGAAAGACUUAAAAUCUUGUCGGGGGUGGUAAAUCCGGAGGAUCUUCAGUUGAGUUCUACUGACAAGAGACUUCUUAAUGCUUACAAGGACAAACCAGUUCUGUCACGCCCUCAGCAUGAUUUUUUCAAGUCCUUGGAAACUUUGGUCUCGGCUCAAACAGAUUCAUUUCUGAUCGUUAUUCCUCAAAUCAUACAGUGUCUGAAUAUCACGUGUACGAGUUCUUUAGGGUUCAAAAUCACAAUGCUUUUGUGCUUUUCGGUGGUCUAAAUAUAGGGAUGUGGAACUGUUCUCGUGAGGAAGGUACAACGAGCUUUCUACGUUUUCUAUGACUUCAGUAACUUCGUACCAAGUAAAUAUUCAUAAACGCCGUGUAUUAGAGACUACAUGCUCUUACAAAGGUUAAAGCAACUAGAUACUUUUACGUUUUAAUUUAACAGGUGUCUUCCGAUUGAAUCUUGUAGAGUUCCUGUUAUCAUCUUUGCAUUGGGUGAUAUGUGAGUUUGAGCGGCUUCAAAGAUCCACUUAUGAGUCCUGGUAGAAAUAUAAUAAGAGUAAUUGUUUGAAAAUUUGAACUCCAACACUCCUGAAGUAUCAUUUAAGCCGAUGAAGAAGUUGGAUAAGCUUCUUUGGAUGUGGAUAGUUGCUGCGAGUGUAGAGUUAAGGAGGGAGUAGAAUUGUACUGUAGAAAAUAAGAAGAGCAAGAGGAAAAGCCGAACUGUUUAGUUGUCCCUGGAUUGUUUAGAGGAUAAUCAGGAUUUAUCCCUGGACUGUUUAGUUCUAAGAAGAUUACAUUCAUAUUGUUUUUUUCUAUAUUAUACUCUCAGCUCCCCAAUGACGAGUUUUCUUAUUGACGAUAACCAUUUCUCAGUAUCAUUUGUAUUCGUAUUUAUCAUCAAGUCCAAG